UACGGUCGUAUUACGUUGAAUCACCGGUCCCCAUAUAAUCACCGAAGUCAAGCAACGUUGAGACUCGUCAGUACCUAGAUGGGUGACCGCUCGGGAAUACCUGAUGGUGUA